UCUUGGGACUGAUUUAGAUUUAGCUAGCAGAUUCCCCAGGCUGAACCCCUCCGCUGGGCUGAAUUUAGCAGCAGAAGAGAUAACCGGGAGAUAAGGACUGAUACCCGGGAGGACAGCAGGAGACCGGCAGGCAGCCGAGGAAAGGGGGAGAAGCCGGAGGCAGUGUUGGGAAGGGCUGCGUAUCCAGAUGUGCUGCGUUUUGGAAACGCAUCUCCCUCUUCACGCCUUGCAAAAUCCCUGGCAAUUUUCUCUACCAAAGCAGCACUUUGCUGAAGUUUCGUGGAAUUCCUACUGAACACCAGCGCUUUACUUAAAAAAAAAAAAACAAAACAACAAUCCAAUUAAACCCGAUUAAAACCGCCCGAGCAGCUCUACCAGGAGCAGAGACGAUUUCAAGGACCUGCCUUGGCUUUGCCUUUUCCAGGAAAAAAACAUAUAAAAAUAAUAAAGAAAUCCCGUGGUGGGUUUUGAGUGUG